UACGAAGGGGGCUAGCGUUGCUCGGAAUCACUGGGCGUAAAGGGUGCGUAGGCGGGUCUUUAAGUCAGGGGUGAAAUCCUGGAGCUCAACUCCAGAACUGCCUUUGAUACUGAAGAUCUUGAGUUCGGGAGAGGUGAGUGGAACUGCGAGUGUAGAGGUGAAAUUCGUAGAUAUUCGCAAGAACACCAGUGGCGAAGGCGGCUCACUGGCCCGAUACUGACGCUGAGGCACGGAAAGCGUGGGGAGCAACAGG
rnacentral:rRNA from 1 species